AGUGAACGCUGGCGGUAGGCCUAACACAUGCAAGUCGAACGGCAGCACAGUAAGAGCUUGCUCUUACGGGUGGCGGGUGGCGGACGGGUGAGGAAUACAUCGGAAUCUACUUUUUCGUGGGGGAUAACGUAGGGAAACUUACGCUAAUACCGCAUACGACCCACGGGUGAAAGCAGGGGAUCUUCGGACCUUGCGCGAUUGAAUGAGCCGAUGUCGGAUUAGCUAGUUGGCGGGGUAAAGGCCCACCAAGGCGACGAUCCGUAGCUGGUCUGAGAGGAUGAUCAGCCACACUGGAACUGAGACACGGUCCAGACUCCUACGGGAGGCAGCAGUGGGGAAUAUUGGACAAUGGGCGCAAGCCUGAUCCAGCCAUACCGCGUGGGUGAAGAAGGCCUUCGGGUUGUAAAGCCCUUUUGUUGGGAAAGAAAAGCAGCAGGUUAAUACCCCGCUGUUCUGACGGUACCCAAAGAAUAAGCACCGGCUAACUUCGUG
rnacentral:rRNA from 1 species